rnacentral:rRNA from 1 species
AUUGAACGCUGGCGGCAGGCUUAACACAUGCAAGUCGAGCGGGGGAAGGUAGCUUGCUACUGGACCUAGCGGCGGACGGGUGAGUAAUGCUUAGGAAUCUGCCUAUUAGUGGGGGACAACAUCUCGAAAGGGAUGCUAAUACCGCAUACGUCCUACGGGAGAAAGCAGGGGAUCUUCGGACCUUGCGCUAAUAGAUGAGCCUAAGUCGGAUUAGCUAGUUGGUGGGGUAAAGGCCUACCAAGGCGACGAUCUGUAGCGGGUCUGAGAGGAUGCACCGCCAGGCUGGGAGUGAAACACGGCCCAGACUCCUACGGGAGGCAGCAGUGGGGAAUAUUGGACAAUGGGGGGAACCCUGAUCCAGCCAUGCCGCGUGUGUGAAGAAGGCCUUAUGGUUGUAAAGCACUUUAAGCGAGGAGGAGGCUACUCUAGUUAAUACCUAGGGAUAGUGGACGUUACUCGCAGAAUAAGCACCGGCUAACUCUGUGCCAGCCGCCGCCGUAA